rnacentral:rRNA from 1 species
CUGCCGGUGACAAACCGGAGGAAGGUGGGGAUGACGUCAAGUCAUCAUGGCCCUUACGGCCUGGGCUACACACGUGCUACAAUGGUCGGUACAGAGGGUUGCCAAGCCGCGAGGUGGAGCUAAUCCCAUAAAACCGAUCGUAGUCCGGAUCGCAGUCUGCAACUCGACUGCGUGAAG